rnacentral:rRNA from 1 species
UACGUAGGGUGCAGGCGUUAAUCGGAAUUACUGGGCGUAAAGCGUGCGCAGGCGGCUUCUUAAGUCAGAUGUGAAAUCCCUGGGCUUAACCUGGGAACUGCGUUUGAAACUGGGAAGCUAGAGUGUGGCAGAGGGGGGUGGAAUUCCACGUGUAGCAGUGAAAUGCGUAGAUAUGUGGAGGAACACCGAUGGCGAAGGCAGCCCCCUGGGCCUGCACUGACGCUCAUGCACGAAAGCGUGGGGAGCAAACAGG